CUCUACUCCCUUGAAAAUACUUGAAAAAAAUAUUUCCUAUGGGCUAAAGAAUAAGUGAGAGGUAUGUGAACAAUGGAAGAAUAGUUUCCAUUUAAGAUGGCUUCAGGAAAGUGGUGCUUGUAAGAAGAAUCAAGUUCCAAUUAAUGUCAAGAGAUUGUUGUGGCAUCUGGACACAUGACACACUUGAAAACAACACAUUAAAUUUAUACUGCCUGGAAUAGACAAAAAGCUGCCUUGUAAGCAUCAUCAACAAUGCUCAUCAUUGGGGGAGGGGUGUGCUGCAUUAGCUGGGUCCCAUGGAAUUAUAUUUUUAAAUUCUAAACUUUUCACAAAUAUAAAAGGGAUAGGCAUUUCAAAUCUGAAAGGCCACAUGAGGGAGAUAACUUCUAUUAAAUAGCAAUUUUUUCAAGUACGAAAAUGAUUGUUAUGAUUCACCAGGGUUUGACUUCAACAGUAUGGGAAAUGUACUUGAGUUAAUCUUCUGGAUUAUAUUUGUAAAAGAAGAUAGGUUAGUUAAGCUAGGAUUGGUCUAUAAUGUAACUCUUAGUAGUCAAACUAAAAAGUAAUUAAUCGCAUAAAUUACACUAUCCUUUAAAUAAAGAUUUUUUUAUGAAAACUGCUCUUUCUAAAAGUUUUAAAAACUUUCUAAAAGUUGUGCACAUGUACCCUAGAACUUACAGUAUAAUAAAAAAUAAAAAUAAAUAAAUAAAUAAAUUUUAAAAAGAUUACAAUAGGCUGGGCACAGUGGCUUACACCUGUAAUCCCAGCACUUUGGGAGGCCAAGGCGGGCAGAUCACCAGAGGUCGGGAGUUUGAUAUCAGCCUGGCUAACAUGGUGAAACACCCCCCCACCCACGUCUCUACUAAAUAUACAAAAAAUUAACUGGUCUUGGUGGUGCAUGCUUGUAAUUCCAGUCACUCAGGAGGCUGAGGCAGGAGAAUCGCUUGAACCCGGGAGGUGGAGGUUGCAGUGAGCCGGAAUUGAGCCACUGAGCUCCAGCCUAGGCAACAAAGCGAGACUAGGUCUCCAAAAAAAAAAAAAAAAAAAAAAAAAGAUUACAAUAAUAUGAUACCAAACAAAUGAAACUGCAGACCCUGUUUUCAGGAUUACAAAGUGCUAAUACAAGAAGAAACACAUAUCCAAACAUGUAAAAAGAACAAACAUCUACAAUUAUGAUGUAAAGCCAGUAAGGGAGGCAGCUUGUACCACUGCACGCUAAGAGCUUAAUCAAACAAAAGGAAUGAGAAGAAGCAAGGGUACCAUUAGCUUCAGGGAUUCUGAGGUUCACAAAGGGCAGUUUCAUAUCCACUUGACUAUUACCCGACAAACCUUCAGACUGCUUUUCCUGAUGAGACAAAGAGUAAUUGAAAACGGGGUUAUGAUCUAAAGAUCACAAACUUUGAGUUUUCAAUGCUUACAAUCCCUCUAAAUUGGAUUAUUUUAAGAAAAUUAAAUAAAACUCAAGAUUGUUUGAAUUAUCACAGGAAUAAAAAAACUUUAUUUCAUCCAGCUGGUACCAAAAACUGGGCUAAAAAAUGAAGGAAAACAAUAAGCUCUAGAGGUAAACAUCUCAGAUGGUAUAUACUUUUAUCUCUGUAAUUCCUGACUAAAUGGAUGUAAUUUCUUUUAUCAUAAUUCCUCUAUAUGAAUGGCCUUUUCUUGGCUCUAAUGGAAUAUUAGUGAAUUCUUAUGACUCAGAAUUUUCAAUAAAUUUUUCUGAAACAAAAAUUUACUAGCAAAAAAGACACUGCCUUUAUGUUUAGCCCAAAUGUUAAUUGCAUUUGACUAAGAAUUUCUGAGUAAUACAUCUGUGUUCAGUGUAAACAAAAUGUUCUGAUACACUUUAAGUCUUAUCAAAAUCACUACUAAUAACCAAGUUUGUUUUAUCCAAUGUUAAAAUUUUUAUUUUUCUUAAUUUAUAUGCAUUUUACAUUGAAACAAAACGUGAACCAAGUUGCCAAAAUUUGGUAGUUUUAGGAUAAAACUACUAUUAAUAAGUUUGGGAAGUCUACUGAAAACCUUUUCUGAGUCUCUACAUGCAUGUGCUCUGUCAAUCUAAGAGGGGGCUUACAUAAGUCACAUUACCCAAUAUUACUUGCCCGAUUUCUCAAACAAUGCACAUUAUCAUCCCAAGAAGCAUCUGUUUCAUGUAAAGUUUGGGAAAUAGAGGCCUAGAUUAUUGGAAAGCUAAUUAAAAUGGAUCAUAACAGAACAAAAUAAGCAUUUUGGUUAACGAAUAAAAGAUAUCAAGAACUGGCUAAGAGACAUGCUUAUCAAUCAUUUCCCCAGCUUGUGAUAAAGGAAUAUCCUGUCAUCAGAGACCUAUAAUAGGAUGACCAUAUAACUUACCAUCCAAGCCAGAACACUUUUGAGAGUCAAAGAGGGCCCCAUUCAUUACAGCAAGAUAAACUUAAACCAGGACCAUCCAGGACAGCCCUUGCCCCAACUAUGAAGCACACAAGGACAGUUUACCAUACACCAUAGCUCAGUUAGUUUUAUCACCCAUAAGGUGUUGCGGUACCAGGAAAGAAUGGCAAGUCUUCUUUUAAAAUACUGCAUUUCAGAAAACAGAUUAAUAUUUUAGGCAAUACCUGAAACAGAUAUGAGAAUAUCACAAUAGUAGGUUAUGCUGAGAUAGACUGUCCUUAUUUACAAAAUCAUCCUCUGGCACAUGGCACUACUGAAUACUCUGUCGUCAAACUUCAAGCCGUCAGCUUCCAAGUCAGCACUUUCCUGAUUCUCCUUCUACAUUUCAAUUUCUUCUUUACCUCUUUCAUUAGCAUUCUUCCUCUAGGUGCCUAUGAAACUAUGGCGUUUGUGUUCCCGUGUUCCCCAUAAUUCAUUCACUUUAUAUAUUACGCCCUCCUUGGGUACCUCAUUCCCUCAAAUAUAUUCCAAGGUCCUAUAUAACUACCCCUAACUUCUUCAAUCAUACAUCUAGCAUCAUUCUAACAAAGCAUAAU
rnacentral:lncRNA from 1 species